rnacentral:rRNA from 2 species
AUCCCGAUCAGGAUUAUCAGAGAUGAUGAUUGUCGGUUCGGCCGGAUCGGUGACAGGUGCUGCAUGGCUGUCGUCAGCUCGUGUCGUGAGAUGUUGGGUUAAGUCCCGCAACGAGCGCAACCCUCGCCCUUAGUUGCCAUCAUUAAGUUGGGCACUCUAAGGGGACUGCCGGUGAUAAGCCGAGAGGAAGGUGGGGAUGACGUCAAGUCCUCAUGGCCCUUACGGGCUGGGCUACACACGUGCUACAAUGGUGGUGACAGUGGGCAGCGAGACCGCGAGGUCGAGCUAAUCUCCAAAAGCCAUCUCAGUUCGGAUUGCACUCUGCAACUCGAGUGCAUGAAGUUGGAAUCGCUAGUAAUCGUGGAUCAGCAUGCCACGGUGAAUACGUUCCCGGGCCUUGUACACACCGCCCGUC